AUACGGAGGGUGCAAGCGUUACUCGGAAUCACUGGGCGUAAAGCGCGCGCAGGCGGUCUUUUAAGUUGGAUGUGAAAGCCUACGGCUUAACCGUAGAACUGCAUCCAAAACUAUUAGACUAGAGUGUGGGAGAGGAAGAUGGAAUUAGUUGUGUAGGGGUAAAAUCCGUAGAGAUAACUAGGAAUACCAAAAGCGAAGGCAAUCUUCUGGAACACUACUGACGCUGAGGCGCGAAAGCGUGGGGAGCAAACAGGAUUAGAAACCCCGGUAGUCC
rnacentral:rRNA from 1 species